rnacentral:rRNA from 1 species
AGAACGAACGCUGGCGGCAUGCCUAACACAUGCAAGUCGGACGCUUUCGGGGGUUUCGGCCUCCGAGGGAGUGGCGGACGGGUGAGUAGCGCGUGGGAACCUGCCCCUUUGUGGGGGAUAACCGAGGGAAACUUCGGCUAAUACCGCAUGCGCCCGGGGGUAACUCCGGGGAAAGAUUUAUCGCAGAGGGAGGGGCCCGCGUCGGAUUAGGUAGUUGGUGGGGUAACGGCCUACCAAGCCGGUGAUCCGUAGCUGGUCUGAGAGGAUGAUCAGCCACACUGGGACUGAGACACGGCCCAGACUCCUACGGGAGGCAGCAGUGGGGAAUAUUGGACAAUGGGCGCAAGCCUGAUCCAGCAAUGCCGCGUGAGUGAUGAAGGCCUUAGGGUUGUAAAGCUCUUUCGGCGGGGACGAUGAUGACGGUACCCGCAGAAGAAGCCCCGGCUAACUUCGCGCCAGCAGCCGC